CUGAGACCUUCGGGGCCCGGAGCUGCCUCCCUUUGGUCUGCUUCUCGAAGGUUCAAUUCACAGAGCACCUCAUAUCUACCAGGGUAAUAUCAAAAUAUAUGUUCCUAAAACAUCCCUGAGUUCACCACCUUGGCCAGAAGUUGUUCUGCCAGACCCAGUUGAGGAGACCAGACACCAUGCAGAGAUCGUGAAGAAGGUGAAUGAGCUGAUCGCCACGGG